AGGUAGACACUUAGGAGUGGAAUUGCUGAGUCAUACAGUAAUUCUAUGUUUAACAUUUUGAGGAGCUGCCAAACUGUUUCCAAAAUGGCUGCAACAUUCUAUAUUUCCAUCAGCAAGAAGGGCCCAUGUGGCAAGGAACUAAGGGCAGUCUCUGGCCAAAAGCCCACAAGUAACUGAAUUCUGCCAAUAACCAUGAGUUUGGAAGUGGAUCCUUCCCCAUUCGAGUCUCAGAUGAGUCCCCAGCCCUGGCCAACAUCUUCAUGUGCUGUGAGAGACCAUUAAGCAGAGGACCCAGCUAAGCUCUGCCCAGAUGCUCAAUCCACAGAAAAAGAUACUAAGUGUGUGUUGUUUUAAGCUGCUACAUUUGCAGUGGUUUGAUAUGCAGCAAUAGAUAACUGAUACUGCUGUUAAUUGCUUUCUAUUACAAUCAGCUGGAAUAACUGCCCUUGUGCCUACAAUCAGAGAUGUAUUUUGGGAUCAAUUCCCAGACCUGAGAUUGUUCAGUCUAAGGGUAAGGAUAUUUAAUGUGGAAAAAUAACACUAAAUUGUCCUCCAAAAAUAUUAUCAAGUGACAAUCAUGCAAACAGUAUGAAAGUUCCUACUUCUCUCCAUGUUCUUGCCAAAUGAAGUGUCAUUGAUCAUUGAAAAAAUAUCAGUUUGAGAAAAAUCAGUACUGCAUUGCUUUGAUUGCAUUUUCCUGAUCACUUAUCAGGGUGAGCAUCUUUUUAACGAAUCCCUUGGCCAUUUAUUUUCCUCUUUCUUUUGAGACUUCUCUCUUGAUAUUUUUAGCUUUUAUCCUAUUUUAAUUGGAUUUCAAUUGGAUUGAACAACUAGAAUGAUAGAAUGAUAUCUGGGGGGCACACAAUGGCCAUUGGUGAUGCUGCUGUUGAUUACCCAAAGUGCUAUCCCAUUUCUUCCUGUGUAUUUACUACUAUUUCUCUUGCAGUUAAUAAGCAAUUUAUGGGAAGAUUCUUUGAGACCAUUCAAAUAUCCUGCACCUCAUUAAAAUAUCCCCCUGGAUUUAGCAGCCUUUGAUGAUUCUUGCCUGAACAAAACUUUAUUAUGGUAGAUGUAAAAUGAAGAUUUUCAUUUCUAGCACUUCUUCCACAUUUACCAGCUACAUUCAGCCUUCUUGUGGAUAAGACUCUCCCCUUUCUCCCAAAUGUUUAUUGUUUUUAUUAGUAUGGACUCACGAUUUCCUGUUCUUCUCAAUGGCCUAUAAUUUAUUACUAUCUUUAAUUAUAUUAGUGCUCAAAUUUUCCCAGUUUGGCCAGUGGGAUCCCCUCCAAGUUGGCUAUUAUUUCCUUGUGACAUACCCACUUUUUCUUUCUUUCUCUUUCUUUUUCUUUCCUUUUAAAACUCACUUCUUUACUUCCUGCUCCAGCCCUGGAAUCAGCCAUUUCUCUGAAAAACUGUGGUUCUUUCAAGUGGACAAAGGUAUUAGAGACCAAAAUUUGGGCACAAGAUAUGCACUUUAACAAGGACCCACUUUAAGUGCAGUUUAGUGAAUUUGAAUGAAUGCAUGAACUUCUGUAACUACUACCACAAUCAAGAUAUAGAGUUUCUGUCACCUCUCAAAGCCUCCUUUUCUUGCUUGCUCAU
rnacentral:lncRNA from 1 species